AUCGUUUCUCGGCCUUUUGGCUAAGAUCAAGUGUAUCUUAUCUGUGGGCCUUAUAUUAAAUGGAUUUUUAGAACAGGGAGAUGGAAGAAGAGCUUUCUCUGUCCACUCCAUGCAUUGACCUGGUAUUGCAGUACCUCCAGGACCGGUGCACGAAAG
rnacentral:snRNA from 1 species